UCUCCGUAGGUGAACCUGCGGAGGGAUCAUUACUGAGUGAGGGCUCACGCCCGACCUCCAACCCUUUGUGAACCAACACUGUUGCUUCGGGGGCGACCCUGCCUUUCGGGCAGUGCGCCCCCGGAGGUCUUCUAAACACUGCAUCUUUGCGUCGGAGUUUAAAACAAAUUAAACAAAACUUUCAACAACGGAUCUCUUGGUUCUGGCAUCGAUGAAGAACGCAGC
rnacentral:misc_RNA from 1 species